rnacentral:misc_RNA from 1 species
GUGCGUGCUCAGUGAUGUGGCCGCUGCUUUGUUUCACGGCUGGUCAAUGCCCGCCCUUGCGACGGUUGGGCACACCUCAGCGCGGAAUCUCAGGGCUCGAUGCCCUCUCUGCGGGGAAGCCCAGCAAUCUCCUAUCCCCUUGCCAACGCCGCACCACAUCUGGCGGCGACACGGUCACGCACCCACGACGUGGGGUGGGGGUGGAGGUGAGAGCGAUGUGUUGCUGCUGAUGUCUGCGUUGGGAGACUGGAUGGCGCUGCGUCGGAGCGGGCUGCGGCAGCGAGCACGUCUGCGCCGCCCACAUGAUGGACGAGGUGUGAGCGUGGCUGGAGGAUAUCCCACCCGGCCCUGGCACUGCCUCCUGGUGUGGGAGCCUGCGCCACGGCGAGGGGGAUGCACCAGGAGGGGUGGCGGCCGGCGGAGCGGGUGGUUUGCAGAGCUGGAGUCAGCGGCCGUGCUUGUGUGCCUGGGUGGGCGCAGCGCUGUGACGCGUGUGCCCACCGCUGCCUCGUCCCGCGCGGUGUGACCUGCGGCAUGUGACGGGAGAGGUGGGGUCGUGCUGCGCGGCAGAGGAUGGCCAUUCUGGGGAGUACUAAUGGCUUGCCGGCCACGUGUUUUUUUUUCGCGCUUCGCGUGGCUCGAAGCGAGCCGGCGUGCUCCGGCUCGAGUGGCGGCCGCGCCGCCACGUAGUGUUCAACGACACAUCAGAGUGUCGCAGCUGCUGGU